GGCUGAUUAGCUCAGUUGGUCAGAGCGUGGUGCUGGUAACCCAAGGGUCAUGGGUUCAAUCCCCUUACUGGCAA
rnacentral:tRNA from 1 species